UAUGUUAUAUACUAAAGCUAAGGGCAGAC
rnacentral:sRNA from 1 species